GCUCAUCGAAACAAGGAAACACUCUCCUGGCGUCUGUUGGUUGCAUGUUGGUGGCGGCAAGGAAUCUAUGCAAUACAGAGAAAGAAAGUCAGCCUUUCAUUAUCAGGAAUAUACUGAAGGAAUAAUGAGGAAAUACUGGUGGAAACAGUGGUCAUUUUGUGUCCACAAAGUCCAUAACACACACAGGAAGCCAGAUGGUAGAGACAGACACAGGCAAACACAUACAAAUGCCAGUCCAGGACCACUGAGCAACAUCUCAGUGACCAGUACCAGUCCUUUGGUCUAUGAAUUUGAAUACGGUAAGUGUAAAUAAAUGUGUAAAAACAGCAAAGACAUGAGUGAGUGAGUGGUGACUAGAGGGAUAUCCUGUUUCUGGUAGGUUUUCCUGGGACAGAACAAAGUAUAAAUAAUGUGACAAACUGUGUGUGUGUGUGUGUGUGUGUGUGUGUGUGUGUGUGUGUGUGUGUGUAAGCACACGUCUCUACUCAGUGAUUUCAUACUGUGUUUGGGUUCUUUUUACUCCAUGGGCCUGUCAUGAUAAUUGGACCCA